rnacentral:rRNA from 1 species
GAUGAACGCUGGCGGCGUGCCUAAUACAUGCCAGUCGAGCGAACAGACCAGGAGCUUGCUCCUCUGGCGUUAGCGGCGGACGGGAGAGGAACACGUGGUUAACCUACCUAUAGGACAGGGAUAACUUCGGGGAACCGGAGCUAAUACCGGAUGACAUGUUGAACCGGAUGGUGCAACAGUGAAAGACGUUCUUGCUGUCACUUAUAGAUGGACCCGCGCCGCAUUAGCUAGUUGGUAAGGUAGCGGCUUACCAAGGCAACGAUGCGUAGCCGACCUGAGAGGGUGAUGGGCCACACUGGAACUGAGACACGGUCCAGACUCCGACGGGAGGCAGCGGUAGGGACUCUUCCGAGAUGGGCGAAAUCCUGACGGAGGAACGCCGCGUGAGUGAAGAAGGUCUUCGGAUCGUAAAACUCUGUUAUUAGGGAAGAACAAAUGUGUAAGUAACUAUGCACGUCUUGACGGUACCUAGUGAGAAAGCCACGGCUAACUACGUG